UCUGUGGGUGAUGAUCCGAUACCGCCCCAGUCUGACUGAUCGGUGACUGACGGUUCUCUCUGACCCGGC
rnacentral:snoRNA from 1 species